rnacentral:ncRNA from 10 species
AUCAAUCUUCGGGGCAGGGUGAAAUUCCCUACCGGCGGUGAUGAGCCAAUGGCUCUAAGCCCGCGAGCUGUCUUUACAGCAGGAUUCGGUGAGAUUCCGGAGCCGACAGUACAGUCUGGAUGGGAGAAGAUGGAG